rnacentral:rRNA from 1 species
GACGAACGCUGGCGGCGUGCUUAACACAUGCAAGUCGAACGGAAAGGCCCUGCUUUUGUGGGGUGCUCGAGUGGCGAACGGGUGAGUAACACGUGAGUAACCUGCCCUUGACUUUGGGAUAACUUCAGGAAACUGGGGCUAAUACCGGAUAGGAGCUCCUGCUGCAUGGUGGGGGUUGGAAAGUUUCGGCGGUUGGGGAUGGACUCGCGGCUUAUCAGCUUGUUGGUGGGGUAGUGGCUUACCAAGGCUUUGACGGGUAGCCGGCCUGAGAGGGUGACCGGCCACAUUGCGACUGAGAUACGGCCCAGUCUCCUACGGUAGGCAGCAGUGGCGAAUCUUGCACAAUGGGACGAAGCCUGAUGCAGCGACGCCGCGUGCGGGAUGACGGCCUUCUGGUUGUAAAACGCUUUAGCCUGUGACGACGCGUGAGUGACGGUAAUGGGUAAAGAAGCACCGGCUAACUACGUG